rnacentral:rRNA from 1 species
CCUACGGGCGGCAGCAGUCGAGAAUCAUUCACAAUGGGGGAAACCCUGAUGGUGCGACGCCGCGUGGGGGAAUGAAGGUCUUCGGAUUGUAAACCCCUGUCAUGUGGGAGCAAAUUAAAAAGAUAGUACCACAAGAGGAAGAGACGGCUAACUCUGUGCCAGCAGCCGCGGUAAUACAGAGGUCUCAAGCGUUGUUCGGAAUCACUGGGCGUAAGGCGUGCGUAGGCUGUUUCGUAAGUCGUGUGUGAAAGGCGCGGGCUCAACCCGCGGACGGCACAUGAUACUGCGAGACUAGAGUAAUGGAGGGGGAACCGGAAUUCUCGGGGUAGCAGUGAAAUGCGUAGAUAUCGAGAGGAACACUCGUGGCGAAGGCGGGUUCCUGGACAUUAACUGACGCUGAGGCACGAAGGCCAGGGGAGCGAAAGGGAUUAGAUACCCUUGUAGUC